rnacentral:tRNA from 1 species
CAAAAAGUAGCUUACCCAAAGCAUUCGGCUUACAACCGAACGACAUUAUAAUAAUCUUUUUGA